ACCAACCAUCAAGCCUGGCUUGUCGUUGGACCCGUUGUCGCCACAAGCGAUAGGUCCGAAAGAUAAUGAACGGUGUCAUGGUGGCCCUAAAUGCAACGAGCUUGUAAGAGCACGCAUCUAGAGGUCUUCCGGCUCGGUCGUUACCCUUUUAUUUUCUCAAGGUUGACCUCGGAUCAGGUAGGAAUACCCGCUGAACUUAA
rnacentral:misc_RNA from 1 species